rnacentral:rRNA from 1 species
GUCCACGCCGUAAACGAUGAUAACUAGCUGUCGGGGCUCUUAGAGCUUCGGUGGCGCAGCUAACGCAUUAAGUUAUCCGCCUGGGGAGUACGGCCGCAAGGUUAAAACUCAAAUGAAUUGACGGGGGCCUGCACAAGCGGUGGAGCAUGUGGUUUAAUUCGAAGCAACGCGCAGAACCUUACCAGCGUUUGACAUGUCCGGACGAUUUCGGGAGACCGAUCUCUUCCCUUCGGGGACUGGAACACAGGUGCUGCAUGGCU